rnacentral:rRNA from 1 species
AUGGAGGCCCCACCCGCGCCCGGCGUCGGGGCCCAAACCCUCGCGCUCGCCGUGGCCGCGGCCGCGGCCUGCAGCGUGGAGGACAAGGGGGCCAAGCGCGCGCGCAAGCGGAGCAGGUACCUCGACGACUACGAAAUCCCCACCAUCCUCAACGCCCUCCACGGCGACGGCGACGACGACUGCAUCGUCGCCCCGCCUCCACCUCCCGCUCCAAGAAAGGGGGCGGCGAGCGAGGGCCCGGCGCUGCUCCUCCGGCUCCAGGCGCCCGACCUGCUCGCCGCGCUCCACCGCUGCGCCGCAUCUCCCUACGACGACGAGCCGCUCGAGGGCGUCGACGCCGGCGCGCUCCUCGCCUUCUUCGCCCUCCACAGGGAAGCCUCCGCCUCCGUCUCCGUGCCCGCCACCCACCGCGCCGGCAAGGACACUGCCCUGGUUACCACGGGUCAGCAUCGCUCUAAUGAUGCUCCUGCCGCCGCUCGCCCGAAUCCAUGCCAGGCCAUGGCCUUCGGGGGCGGAUCUGCCGGCAACCAACAGGCCGGUGGCAUUGCCAUUGGCCACGCCGCGUAUGCGCAAGCCCACCACCACAUUGGAGCUGGACCAUCAAAUGCAGAUGCAGCCGCACUAGGGGGGCCUGGACCCAGCAAGAGGAGGAACAAGAAGAAGGUAACAUUCGCACUGGGAGCGCCUGGUGCCUCCGGCGCCGGUUGCCCCGCCCAACCCGGUGCUGCUACCCACAGCAGCAUCAUCGGCAGCGCCGGUUCCACGCCCAACAAGCCGGCCAAGAACAAGAAAGCUGUCAACGGGCAGCAGCAUUUCAGCAAGCCGGUGGCCCUCAUCCUGCAAUUCGCCCCGGGCACCGCCGCCGAUCAGCUCCCUUCCAAGGAGCAGCUCCACUCCACACUCCGCGGCUUCGGCCCCCUGAUCGAGCCCAGCACCGAGAUCACCAAGAAGCAGGCGCGCGUCGUGUUCCAGAGCAGCGCCGCGGCCGAGGCUGCCUACAGCUGCGUGCACACGCUCGGCACCUUCGCCGCGGCGCGGCUGCAGUACCUGCGCCCGCCGCCGCCCCCUCCAAAGAUCCCGCUGACGGACGUCCGGAAGAACCUCGAGAGGAUGAUCGCGUCCCUCACCGGCCCCUCUCUGCUCGGCAAGGAGGACAGCGCGUGGAGCCUCGCCGGAGAGAUGCAGCACCUUCUGGUCAAGGUCGACAGGGUGCUGAAUGCCGGCGGGGCAGGGCCUUCCACCUCAGUUGCUGCUCAUCACCAUUGA